GCAGAAGCACCAGAUGCAUGUAAAGAUAAGGUUAUAGAACUCCUAGGUUAUAUUCUUUCAAUUGAAGGGGAAGAUGAAUUGAGGUUUAGCAUUUCUGUUACUGUUUUUUUUCAAGCGCAAAUAUUUCCCUUAAUCUCUUGAUUUGCAGCUGACAUGGUAUUUCUGACAUGGUUUCAAAUGGCAGUCCUUUUUAUUCCAUCUGUUUU
rnacentral:misc_RNA from 1 species